rnacentral:lncRNA from 1 species
ACUUGAAAAUGUUCUAAAAAAUCUAAAAGAAUUUUAACAUUAGUCCAAUCUUGGGUAGUAAGCAUUUCAUCAUCAUCCUCACCACCAACCCGAGAAUUAAACGUAGCAUUAAUUGGGUUUCUAUAUUCAUACGCAACUACUAAACUUUCGCACAUGCAAUUCCACCUAGUCGGGCAAGGUUUAUGAACCUUUCUUUCUCUAAGCCCAUAUUCAUCACAUUUCUUAAAAUACUCUCUAAGUCUAGUUCUACGGUUUGAAUAAAAUAGCCAAUUAAGAGCCAUUCUCACCUUUUCAAUUUCUAUGUUUAAUAUUCGCAUACCAUCACCAACAA